rnacentral:rRNA from 1 species
GGCCAGCAGCCGCGGUAAUACGGAGGGUGCGAGCGUUAAUCGGAAUUACUGGGCGUAAAGCGCAUGUAGGCGGUGGGCUAAGUCCGCUGUGAAAGCCCUGGGCUUAACCUGGGAACGGCAGCGGAUACUGGCCGGCUAGAGUGUGGUAGAGGGUAGUGGAAUUUCCGGUGUAGCAGUGAAAUGCGUAGAGAUCGGAAGGAACACCAGUGGCGAAGGCGGCUAUCUGGACCAACACUGACGCUGAGAUGCGAAAGCGUGGGGAGCAAACAGGAUUAGAUACCCUGGUAGUCCACGCUGUAAACGAUGAGAACUAGCCGUUGGGCCUAUUUACAGGUUUAGUGGCGCAGCUAACGCGAUAAGUUCUCCGCCUGGGGAGUACGGCCGCAAGGUUAAAACUCAAAUGAAUUGACGGGGGCCCGCACAAGU